rnacentral:tmRNA from 1 species
GGGGCCGAUCGGUUUCGACUCCGUACGCUGAUGUAAGAGAAGCGGGUCGAGGAAGCCAACGCCGUCUCGUUAAUCGUCGUUGGAAACCACAAGUGCGAAUUCUAAACGCGCUGACUUCGCCCUCGCUGCAUAAGCAGGGUUGAGAGUCUGUCGGUCCGGGAGCGUGUCCGUCCCGGUUGCCGGCAUCAUUUUAGGACGCUAGACGACACAUUCGGUCACGGAAUGUGUCGCGACAUUAACAGUGACUGGAGCCCGUCUCACCAACUUGUUCGCGUGAUUGGUGGGGCUCGAGUAAAGGCACAGCGAACUGCACCCGGAGAAGUCUUACUGAAACGGCGGAGGACCAGGGUUCGAUUCCCUGCGGCUCCACGA